rnacentral:tRNA from 1 species
GGGGGUGUGGCGGAACUGGUAGACGCGCUAGACUCAAAAUCUUGUGGCCUUUGGCCGUGUCAGUUCGAGUCUGACCAUCCCUACCA